rnacentral:lncRNA from 1 species
CCAUCUAUCAUUUCUGAUGCAGGGAGAUGAGCAUGUGGAAUCUGAUACAUCAACAUAUGUCAUCAAAUGUAUCUGCUGAAUCUACAGAUAAGGAGAGUGCAGACCUUCAAUCAUGGUUGAAUCACUAAACUUGCUCCACCAUUAAAAGUUCAUUUAUCCCAUAUAGCAUCGAAUUAGUUCAUCUCUUAGUCUUUAAUAGUGUAAUAUAUCUAAAAAUCUGGACUUAAUAGCGUCAAUAUAUUCAAAUCCUUUUAUAGAUCAAUUUGGGGAAGCCUCUUUCUAGAUUUGAGCCCUAAUUUAGCAAAAAAUCAAGUCCUGAUUGGAACAACACAAAAAUGAAGAAAUAAACUUCCCUGAACGGUGGAGGAGGGCAGGGCUCGCUCCGGCAGACAGCGCGGUUGAGAUUGGAGCUGGGGCCGCGUGGCAGUGUCUGGAAACUGACGGUGGUGACAGGAAAAGGGCGAAGGUGGCUGGGCGGCGGGAGACGGUGGCAGGAGGUGUUUGGCGCUGCUGGUAUGGUGUAAAUCGCGCCGACUGGUGGCUCUUCCUCGGCGUUCAUGAUAGGAACGAUGGGUGGCGCACGAAGCCACCUUGUGUAGAUGCCGGGAGAUGGUGGGGGGCGAGCGGUUCUGGAGUGGGUCGCGGUGGUGUUGGCUGCGACGAAG